GAUCACCAAGUUGACCUAACCAAACAUAAUAGCCAACCUUCUAACGGUGUGUUUGGAUGUUCAUAUUUGGUUGUCUGGAUGCGCUCUCUAUUCAAGCGUCAAAACCUGGCCCAAUGCCGACCAGAAAAGUCAGUGCGUGAAUGCACCCUCCCAUGAUACGAACCCUCGAGGCUCUGAUUUCCGCUGAAUUUGCCUUUCUCCACUCUCCCGCAAAACAUACCGGUUCAGUCUACCGUAAAAAAGAAAUCGACAAGAGGCGAGAAGCACGGCGGAGGAGCUGAGACCCGCUUGGCUAGCAAAGGUCGAUGCGGGCACUGACGGUGACGUCCUCGCCCUCUCCCCCGUUCACUCCAUCGCUCAAGCCCUGGAAUUUCUAUGCAUGUACAUGCUAGCUUUUAAUCUAAUUUGUAUUGUGAAGAUUUGUAAAGUAAAUAGUAUAUGUUAGCUUUUAAUUCAAUUUGUUGUGCAGAUUUCAUUUGAUACAUAUAAUAUGCAAUUCCAAUGUUUGCCAUGCAAACAUGAUUUGGAACUGAAGCCUAACUAGGGUUCAAUGCUUAAAUUCAAUGAACAACCAAACAAAACAAUUUGUAUUGUGCCCAUUAUAGUUUCCUGGUUGAAUUGGUAUUCCAUCCAAUUCAAUACGGAGACCUCCAAUACAGACAUCCAAACAGAGUGUAACGUAAAGCAUGCUUCACUAAAUUGCGAGCCUCGAAAUUCAAACUCCUAAACUAGUGAACAAAAUUACAUAAAGUAAAAACACUCGAGUGCUAUAUGGUUUCAUGUAUUCUAGCUCCAUAGUCAGCCGAGUUGUUGUUUGAUAUCAUCAAUCACCACCUUGCAUAGACGCAAUAUGGAUCCUUCGUAAAUUUAGAUCAUUGGUGAGGACUAGUGCCUCCCGAACAAGUUAAUUUAGAUUAUUAGCGAGGACUAGUGCCUCCCGAACAGGUAGUGCUCAGGGUUGCAAGAUCCAGAAUGCCUCUGAAUAAAAAUGCCAAAGCUCCCAAGUAGACACCAGCAUGGUCUUGUCUCACCGCUGCAGCAGCUCCAAAAUCCGAACUCCUCGCUAUCGAUGCAUCGACAUUGAUCUUUGUCAUGCUCACCGCCAGAGGGAGCCAUUGUGUCGAUUUUGAGGAUGGCGCACGUGUGAUGAUCACAGUCGGUUUGUCAAAUAUAUGAAGAUCUAAUAUAAAGGCUGCUAUAAAAUGAGAGGGGACCCUAAAAGAUGUCCUCAUACAUAAGCUUUCCUUCUCGCACCCCACCCCAGAAUGCCCAUAGGGUAAUUAACCAUCAUGUGCAUAAAGUCACCAUGGUAGCAUUUCAUGCAUAGCAAAGAUCCAGUUGUUUGCAUUCGCAACCUGGUUUAGGCACAUGUGUUCAACUAACCCCUUCUUAAAUAGAGCCCAAACGCCAUUGAACAGUCCAUCAAAGCAUGUCUCCAAGAAUCCUCGGUACCGCGUAUAACAUAGGUGGUUGAGGUGGACAUGUUCCUGUGUUAGGCAAGACGCCAACGUCCACGCAUAGUUCCUGAUGUGUUAGAUGGGCGUCAUCUUCAAGUCAAUUCUCUCGUUAAGUUUUGUACUGUAUUCAGGAUCAUCAUAUAUAAGCAGACUUAACUAGGAAAUUGCCGCGAGCUCCUAAUCCAGGCUCAGAAGUCGACCACAUUCCUUAUUUAGAGAGGGAUCGCAAAUCAUCUAUUUCCCCCUAAUUGAGAAAUUGCCGCGAGCUCUUGAUCCAGGCCCAGAAAUUAUCAUGAGCUCCCGAUCAGUGGCAAAUCAUCUAAUCCCCCCUGACUGACCCCCCACGUCUGGCUUGGGAGCUCAUCAACGCGACAUCGGCAACUUGGCACGAGCAGUUUGUGUGAUCAGUAUUCAUGUUGAUCGAUGUAGUUUUCGUAAAGGAACAUGGCCGACUUCUGGGUCUGGAUCAGGAGCUCGUGUCAAUUUCUCAGUUAAGGGGGAUUAGAUAAUUUGCCACGCUUUGCUUUAUUAAGGUUCAGAUGAUUUGCCCCAGGAUUGUCUCAAUGACCAGUGGCCCUAGCCCCACCCAUCAAUCUUGGGGGGUAGGGGGGACAAAUGAUCAAAGUGAAAAGUAAAGUGUGGGUUUGGUGCCGGGGCUAAGAUGAGCCCGUGCAUGAACAGUAAAUCGUAAAAAUAUCAAAACAAUUUCAAAAAAUUCUAAUUUGUUUUGUGAUGCAAGAUGCUCAGAUGCGAGAUACUCGUGCAAAAUUUCAUGAAGUUUGGACAUUCAAGUUGCACGUGGCAAAAAAAAGGUUUGGUGAGAAACAUUUGAAAAUAGCACCGUUCACGCCCGAAUUUUUCUUUUUUGCCUCGCGCUCCUCGUUCAAACUUCACCAAAUUUUGCAUGAAAAUCACACACAUGGACAUCUUGCUUGCAAAAAAAUUCAGAAUUUUUUCAUAUUUUUUCUAUUUCUAACCUUGUUUUGAGAAAAAAUUUAUAUUUCUAACCACUGUACUGUUGAGCCCGGGCACUGAAGUGGAUAUUCGUUGGGCUUUCUCUAAAUUUUCGGAGUUCGUUGGGCUUUCUCUAAAUUUCCCGCAAAAAAAGAAGUUCGCUGGGCUUAGAUCUCACCGAAACGUCCUUACCAUUAUUGGGCUGGGCCCAGGUUAACUCCGCUGCCGAUCCCUAAUUCGUUCGGCUGAGCCCAAAGCCUGGCAGCCGGAGGCGAAUCGAUCGAUCGGGCACGCCGUCGCAUUUCUUCCAUCCUCCCCCGCCCGCCCGGCCGCGCCGCCGUCCGUGCCGGCCGUAGCGUCUCGUCUCGCUCACAGGCUGCGCACCACCGCUUCCCUCAAAGCUCGCUCCACCUCUCGCCACCCAGCGCCGACGCCUUCCUCGGCUGCUCGACGGCGCCCGGCGCUUCCCCGGACCCGAGGCGAGCGGCGGUGCUCGUCAGAUCCGCGGGUGCGGCGCCGCCACCGAGGGGAAGGAGACCCUGUGCGUCUCCGCUCUAUUGCGGGCGGCUCCCCGUCCCAUCUCCUCCGCCGCUCCCCUCCAUUGGCUGCCGCGCCGCCAGCGAGCUCAAGGAGACCGGCGGACUGCGGGCAAGGUAAUCGUCCGUCAUCCCCUUCCCUCGUUCCCCUUCUCAUCUUCUGGAGAAGCAUCGACGCAACACCCAGGUGGAGAAAGCAAUAAAAUUUAGAGGAAAUGUACAUGUUCCGUUUGUUGUUCGUCAUAUCUCCUGCUAAUAAUAAUACUACCAUGGAUGCCUGUUUCCUGUCCUUAUGAAAAACAAUUUUGAACCUGUAGGCUAUGUGUGCUGCAAUGGCGUUCAUGGGGCGGAUGGCCGGCAGUCGCAUUUUCUCAGAGCUGUGCGGCUCGAUCGUGAAUCUGAGGAUGUACUCUUCGAGGGUGGACUGGAAGCAGCUGCGGCCCAUGAUUCUAAAGAGGAUCAAGAACCGAACAAAGGAUUAUCCUAUCAAGCGAAUGAUCCCGGUGGCCCAGGAGGUGGUCAGGGCCAGAGAGAUUCUCACUGAAGGCGUCUCGAUACUCCUCAGAGCUGUCCCUGUACAUUCAUGCAAGUAAGGGCAACAAGUAUGAAAUUAUUAAGUUUUUGUCUUAUCAUAGGAGGAUACAAUACAAUAAACUUGGUCUUCUCGUUUGUUGCUGAAAGUUCCUUGCUUUGCAUCAUUAUCCAGUUUAGGUAUUGCAAGAAGUCUGAAGAAAUGGCAAAACAAUUCAACAAAAAUAAGUACUAUAGAAGAUUGGUGUUCAUAGGCUAGUGUUAUUGUUUCCAUAUACAUUCAUGCAAGUAAGCAAGAAAUAUGAAAUUAUAAGUGUUUUCCACUUGAUCAUAGGAGGAUAAAAUACAAUAAUAAACUUCGUCUUCUUGUUUGUUGCUGAAAGAUCCUUAUUUUGGCAGAUCAUCAGCAAAGGUAUUGCUAAGAAGUCUGAGGAAAUGGACAGAUAAUUAAACAGACAUACGUAGAAUAUUAGUGUUCCUAAACUAGUAUUGUUGUUGUGUAAUGUUGUUGCCAAGUUUGCCUUUUAGUCUGAGUGAAUUCCAGUUACUCAAGCAGUCCUCUUUGAUUUUCACAUUUGUUCUCAUUUGUUGAUCAGAGUGGACCUUUCUGCAUUAUUCAUUCAGAUGUUUUAUGUGCUGUCAUUUUAAUUAGUGAUUUAUGUUUUGACUCAUCCUGUAGGUUUUGUCCUGAAAUUCAUGUUGGAGCAAUGGCACAUCAGAUGAAAUCAUGUCACGGUUUCAAACGUAUGAUCAAGGAUCGACCUCACCAAUGGGGCCCAGGCGGCUUGAAUAACAUCCUUGUCCCUGUUGAGGCCUUCCAUCAGGAAAACAUGUUUCAGGAUGAGAUAAGGCAUGACCAGAGGUUCGACUUCACUCGUGUCCCGGCUGUACUCGAGCUAUGUCAUCAGGCAGGUGCAGAGCUACCUGAAGGACUCCUAUACAGACGUGAUGAGCUAUGUACGGCAGCUGAAGCUAACAACCAAAAUCCUGCCCCUUUGCUAUCUUCUGAACUUAGAUUGGUAGGUCAAAGAACACUGGAAGCAUGGGAAAGGCUCAGAUUAGGUGUGACAAAACUCCUAUUGGUCUACCCAUCCAAAGUGUGCGAGAAUUGCUCUGAAGUGCAUGUUGGGAUAUCAGGGCACAAGGCCAGGAUGUGUGGAGUAUUUAAGUUUGAGGGCUGGCGGGGAAAACACAAGUGGAAGAAGGCUGGAGUGGAUGACCUGGUUCCUCAAAAGAUUGUGUGGCAUCAGCGGCCUCAUGACCCACCAAUUCUGGUGGACAGUGGGCGAGAUUAUUAUGGUCAUGCUCCUGCUGUUGUGGAGCUUUGUGUGCAAGUAGGUGCAAGAGCAUCACCAAAAUAUAAUUGCAUGAUGAAGGAGCAUGGCUUGGCACCACCUGUUCAAAGAGACCAGGCCACAUAAGAAGUUCAUUGCUUAGCUAGGUCUGUGCAUGAUGACGAUGUUAUACGGUAGCUGUACAUAUCAGGUAACAAGAGACCACAAGAGACCCUUUUGGAUGUGGAGCGAAUCUAGGGUUACUAAAAUUGUACUUUUGCAGAAUUCAUGUGAAUCAAAUGAGGCAGGUAGCAAUCCAUUUUGAAGGUUAUCUGUGUUACUCAGGACAGUAGGUGAGAAGGAAAACACUGUUCAUGUUUACCAAUUAGCUGAAUUUCCUCUGAUGAUAUCAGGCAAUUUCUUUCAGUGGGAGACUUAACUGCAUUGUAAAUUAUCCAGAAGGCCAGAAUGGAAUAUUUGGGCCUUAGUUUGUGCCGGCUCAUUGAAAAUCGAGGGAUGGUAGCUCUGCCUUGCUACUGUAACAUCAAGUGUUGUCAUUUUUUUUGUGGGAGUUCUUUUUCCAAGGGGAUUACUGGACAGUUUGUUCACAUUACCUAGAUGUCAUACCAUUACUCUUUUCUGAUAGCCCUAUGGGCAAUUUUGUUAUAAGCAAGCUAUGUAGAGGGAACUCACUUGCUGCAAGUUGGUACUGUGUGUGAACAUCACAAAUAACUUAUGUACUGCUUUCAUAAGCACCCCUUUUUGAAGUGUGAUCUGUACACACAACCUAGCUUGGCCCCCUUUUUGUGUACUGAUUAUUCCAGCCACAUUGGCUGAUAAGCUGGGUAUAAAUGAAUUUCAUGUACAUUAAAGCUGAGUGUGUAUAUGCUUUCCACAUGUUUUUUUGUUGUUAUUGUAAUAUAUCUGUAUCCGCUGAAAAGUACUCCCUUUGUAUCAAAAUGUAAGAUGUUUUUGAGUCUCAGUCUAAACCAAAAAAUGUCUUACAUUUUGAUAAAGAGGGAGUGCUUUGUACUGAGUGGACUCUGUUAGGCAUCUUCAAUAAUUUGUACUGUAUGUAAUAAGUAUGUAAAUAUGUUUUUCAUUUGUUGUAUGUCAUUCUGGAAACAUGUUUCUGCAAUGUAUGCUUUAUCAUCUGUUUGGAUCAGAGAAGUGUUGCCAGUAUCAAAUAAGUUUUUCAGGUUGGGUCAUACAUUAAUAUGUACUUCCUCCGUUUCUAAGUAUAAACCCUUUUAGAGAUUUCAGUACGAACUACUUACGGAUGUAUAUAGAUGUAUUUUAGAGUGUAGAUUCACUCAUUUUGCUCAAUAUGUAAUUCAUAUUGGAAUAUCUAAAAAGGCUUAUAUUUAGGAACAGAGGGAGUAGUCAGCGUUUUGGUACUAUAACCCAGAAAGAGCACAGAGUGGCAAUGAGGCAUAUGUUCUAGACAUACUUUAAGCCAAAGACCAGAUAUGAUUUUUUUUGAGAUGGUGUUUCUGUGUUAAUUUUGCUCUAAGGAGGUUUUGAAAGGGGUGAUACGACCAAGCUGUUUGAUAGAUGUGUUUUGCUGUGAAGUCUUUUUUAACCUUAUCUUUUACCGUUGAUUUUUUGUGUCUAAUGUCUUGCUUUCAUUGUGCUAAGUAAAUUGCAAGAUAUAUGCGUUCCUUGUGACGCGGUGUCUGCCUCACCUGAUAGGCAAAAGUUUGGCAAAAUAACACUUCUGUGCUAUGCCUUUUUGUUAAGAAGAAACCACACUUUCAUUUACAGAUAUAUGCUUCCGUUGGAAAGCAAGGCAAACAACCGAAGGCUCCUCCUUACAAGAACUACUCGCCGAACAUAGAACAAUCAUCAACCCUGCCUAUGGGCUCCUUACAAGACAAAGGUUGCCACGCAACACCCCUUGCAAAAACAGUCCUUGUUGAUUUUAUAACUAGCACAGUUCACACUGUUGUUUCAAAGUAUAGCUCUACAUAGAUUCAUACCAGCAUUGAGAAGGUAUUUAAAAGUCUACCGGAAAUAUUGUGUACAAUAAAAUGACUCUUGACAACGUUAUAGAGAAUAUAGUAAUGUACAAGUGCCUGAGCAGAAACUCUCGGGGAACUCCUGAACCGACACUGAAAACCUCUAGUUAAGGAGCCAACCAGCAUCUACAAUCCAUGCAUGGACCAACAACUCAAUGUGCAGGAUUAAGGUCACUGGUCUUUGCUGGUGAAACGGCAGAUCGACCAAGAGAACACAAACUAAUUCUGCUAUGAACACUGACACACAAAAGAGUUACAUUCAGCAAUAACAAAAAGGAGGGAUAAGAGAUCGCUAGUGCUUGCUUCAACUAGGUGCAACCAUGAUUAUUCAUGGGGAAAUUCCGCACAGUUUUGACUAUUAAUAGGUUGAUAUUGCAACAGCUCAGCAUCUACGAUUUUGACUCUGCUAUCCGUCAUAACAGGCCAGAACAAUUCAAGAUUUCAGCGAGCCAUCUCUUUCUUACAAAUAACUGAAGGACUACAAUGAAGCCUCAAGAGAAUCUAACAGAACACAUCCCUGCAGUUA
rnacentral:lncRNA from 1 species